AUUGAACGCUGGCGGCAGGCCUAACACAUGCAAGUCGAACGAGUGGCGGACGGGUGAGUAAUGUCUGGGAAAAUGCCUGAUGGAGGGGGAUAACUACUGGAAACGGUAGCUAAUACCGCAUACCAUCAGAUGUGCCCAGAUGGGAUUAGCUUGUUGGUGGGGUAACGGAUCACCAAGGCGACUAUCCCUAGCUGGUCUGAGAGGAUUACCAGCCACACUGGGACUGAGAGCCGGUCCCGACUCCUACGGGAGGCAGCAGGGGGGAAUAUUGCACAAUGGGCGCAAGCCUGAUGCAGCCAUGCCGCGUGUAUGAAGAAGGCCUUCGGGUUGUAAAGUACUUUCAGCGGGGAGGCGUUACCCGCAGAAGAAGCACCGGCUAACUCCGUGCCAGCAGCCGCGGUAAUAC
rnacentral:rRNA from 1 species